GCCCUAGUACGGCGAGUGAAGCGGCAACAGCUCAAAUUUGAAAGCUAGCCUUCGGGUUCGCAUUGUAAUUUGUAGAGGAUGAUUUGGGGAAGCCGCCUGUCUAAGUUCCUUGGAACAGGACGUCAUAGAGGGUGAGAAUCCCGUAUGUGACAGGAAAUGGCACCCUAUGUAAAUCUCCUUCGACGAGUCGAGUUGUUUGGGAAUGCAGCUCUAAAUGGGAGGUAAAUUUCUUCUAAAGCUAAAUAUUGGCGAGAGACCGAUAGCGCACAAGUAGAGUGAUCGAAAGAUGAAAAGCACUUUGGAAAGAGAGUUAAAAAGCACGUGAAAUUGUUGAAAGGGAAGCGCUUGCAAUCAGACUUGUUUUAUACUGUUCGGCCGGUCUUCUGACCGGUUUACUCAGUUUGGACAGGCCAGCAUCAGUUUCGGCGGCCGGAUAAAGGCUCUGGGAAU
rnacentral:rRNA from 1 species